rnacentral:rRNA from 1 species
GCUUUUUUUCACCUGAAAGAAAGCUCAAAGGCGCUUUACAGCGUCACUGAUGGCUGGUCCCGCGGUGCAUUAGCCAGUUGGUGAGGUAACGGCUCACCAAAGCAACGAUGCAUAGCCAACCUGAGAGGGUGAUCGGCCACACUGGGACUGAGACACGGCCCAGACUCCUACGGGAGGCAGCAGUAGGGAAUCUUCGGCAAUGGACGCAAGUCUGACCGAGCAACGCCGCGUGAGUGAAGAAGGUUUUCGGAUCGUAAAGCUCUGUUGUCAGCAAAGAACAGGAGAAAGAGGAAAUGCUUUUUCUAUGACGGUAGCUGACCAGAAAGCCACGGCUAACUACGUGCCAGCAGCCGCGGUAAUACGUAGGUGGCAAGCGUUGUCCGGAUUUAUUGGGCGUAAAGCGAGCGCAGGCGGUGAUUUAAGUCUGAUGUGAAAGCCCCCAGCUCAACUGGGGAGGGUCAUUGGAAACUGGAUCACUUGAGUGCAGAAGAGGAGAGUGGAAUUCCAUGUGUAGCGGUGAAAUGCGUAGAUAUAUGGAGGAACACCAGUGGCGAAGGCGGCUCUCUGGUCUGUAACUGACGCUGAGACUCGAAAGCGUGGGUAGCAAACAGGAUUAGAUACCCUGGUAGUCCACGCCGUAAACGAUGAGUGCUAAGUGUUGGAGGGUUUCCGCCCUUCAGUGCUGCAGUUAACGCAUUAAGCACUCCGCCUGGGGAGUACGACCGCAAGGUUGAAACUCAAAGGAAUUGACGGGGGCCCGCACAAGCGGUGGAGCAUGUGGUUUAAUUCGAAGCAACGCGAAGAACCUUACCAGGUCUUGACAUCCUUUGACCGCCCUAGAGAUAGGGUUUCCCCUUCGGGGGCAAAGUGACAGGUGGUGCAUGGUUGUCGUCAGCUCGUGUCGUGAGAUGUUGGGUUAAGUCCCGUAACGAGCGCAACCCUUAUUGUUAGUUGCCAGCAUUGAGUUGGGCACUCUAGCAAGACUGCCGGUGACAAACCGGAGGAAGGCGGGGAUGACGUCAAAUCAUCAUGCCCCUUAUGACCUGGGCUACACACGUGCUACAAUGGGAAGUACAACGAGCAAGCCAAGCCGCAAGGCCUAGCGAAUCUCUGAAAGCUUCUCUCAGUUCGGAUUGCAGGCUGCAACUCGCCUGCAUGAAGCCGGAAUCGCUAGUAAUCG